UACGUAGGGGGCAAGCGUUGUCCGGAUUUAUUGGGCGUAAAAGGCUUGUAGGUGGCCACGCCAAGUCGGAUGUGAAAUCUCCCGGCUCAACUGGGAGGGGUCAUUCGAUACUGGCGGGCUCGAGGCCGGUAGGGGGAAGUGGAAUUCCCGGUGUAGUGGUGGAAUGCGUAGAUAUCGGGAGGAACACCAGUGGCGAAGGCGGCUUCCUGGACCGGUUCUGACACUGAGGGGCGAAAGCGUGGGGAGCGAUCCGG
rnacentral:rRNA from 1 species